GGAGAGAUGGCUGAGUGGUUGAAAGCACCGCACUCGAAAUGCGGCAGACUGGGUGACUGGUCUCGGGGGUUCGAAUCCCCCUCUCUCCGCCA
rnacentral:tRNA from 1 species